GACGGAGGAUGCGAGCGUUAUCCGGAAUCACUGGGCGUAAAGCGUCUGUAGGUGGUCAAAUAAGUCAACUGUUAAAUCUUGAGGCUCAACCGCAAAAUCGCAUUCGAACCUAGUAGACUAGAGUAUAGUAGGGGUAAAGGGAAUUUCCAGUGGAGCGGUGAAAUGCGUAGAGAUUGGAAAGAACACCGAUGGCGAAGGCUCUUUACUGGGCUAUUACUAACACUGAGAGACGAAAGCUAGGGUAGCAAAUGGG
rnacentral:rRNA from 1 species